GAAAUGCGAUACGUAAUGUGAAUUGCAGAAUUCAGUGAAUCAUCGAGUCUUUGAACGCACAUUGCGCCCCCUGGUAUUCCGGGGGGCAUGCCUGUCCGAGCGUCAUUGCUGCCCUCAAGCACGGCUUGUGUGUUGGGCCCCCGUCCCCCCCCCAAGGGGACGGGCCCGAAAGGCAGCGGCGGCACCGUGUCCGGUCCUCGAGCGAAUGGGAAGCAACUUUUUGUCACCCGCUCCUGUAGGUCCGGCCGGCGGCCUGCCCAACCCCAACCUUUUUUUCAACCAGGUUGACCUCGGAUCAGGUAGGGAUACCCGCUGAACUUAAGC
rnacentral:misc_RNA from 1 species